AGUUGGGUGGACGACGAAUAAUGUGUGUUGUUAGCGUGCCUCAGCUCGUCCACUACGCAGCGACAUCUAUGAUGGGAGUAAUGUCGUCGACGCAGCACCGGCAACUUGGAGAGCGUCGUACCAUUGAAAAGUGGUGAGACCGUGACCCUAUAGCAGUGUCCACAUAAUGGCAGGGAAAUGCAGGGAUCCCGCAGCCAUGGCUACAGCAGCACGGCGUGUAAUCUGGAUGUCAUGUCAGGGUACACGUGCACUCACUUCAAGACGACGACCCUCCACCUCAAAAACAGUCUCUCUUCAAAGACUAGCAGGUAGAUUAAAUGAAAGGAAAAUACCACAUCCAUAACCAGACAGAUACUAUGUUUU